rnacentral:rRNA from 1 species
UACGUAGGGUGCAAGCGUUAAGUCGGAAUUACUGGGCGUAAAGCGUGCGUAGGCGGUUUGUUAAGUCUGUCGUGAAAGCCCUGGGCUCAACCUGGGGAAUUGCGAUGGAUACUGGCAGCUAGAGUACGGUAGAGGAUGGUGGAAUUCCCGGUGUAGCGUGAAAUGCGUAGAGAUCGGGAAGGAACACCCGUGGCGAAGGCGGCCAUCUGGACCAGUACUGAACGGCUGAGGCACGGAAAGCGUGGGGAGCAAACAGGG